AACGAACGCUGGCGGCGUGGAUUAGGCAUGCAAGUCGAACGUGAAAGGGGAGCUUGCUCCCUGAGUAAAGUGGCGAACGGGUGAGUAACGCGUGAGAAACCUGCCUUGAAGAGGGGGGAUAACACUCCCAACGGGGUGGCUAAUACCGCAUGUGCCCGCUGGAUCGCAUGGUCCGGCGUGGAAAGAUGGCCUCUGCUUGCAAGCUAUCACUUCGAGAGGGUCUCGCGCCGAUUAGCUAGUUGGUGGGGUAACGGCCUACCAAGGCGACGAUCGUAGCUGGUCUGAGAGGAUGGUCAGCCACACUGGGACUGAGAUACGGCCCAGACUCCUACGGGAGGCAGCAGUCGAGA
rnacentral:rRNA from 1 species